AUUGAACGCUGGCGGAAUGCUUUACACAUGCAAGUCGAACGGCAGCACGGGAGCUUGCUCCUGGUGGCGAGUGGCGAACGGGUGAGUAACAUAUCGGAACGUACCCAGUCGUGGGGGAUAACUAUCCGAAAGGAUAGCUAAUACCGCAUACGUCCUGAGGGAGAAAGCGGGGGAUCGCAAGACCUCGCGCGAUUGGAGCGGCCGAUAUCGGAUUAGCUAGUUGGUGGGGUAAAGGCUCACCAAGGCGACGAUCCGUAGCGGGUCUGAGAGGACGACCCGCCACACUGGAACUUAGACACGGUCCAGACUCCUACGGGAGGCAGCAGUGGGGAAUUUUGGACAAUGGGGGCAACCCUGAUCCAGCCAUUCCGCGUGAGUGAAGAAGGCCUUCGGGUUGUAAAGCUCUUUCAGCAGGAACGAAACGGUCGGCUUUAAUAAAGUCGGCUAAUGACGGUACCUGCAGAAGAAGCACCGGCUAACUACGUG
rnacentral:rRNA from 1 species